rnacentral:rRNA from 1 species
GCAGCGGCAGCAGGAGGGGUUAGGGGUGCCGAGAGGGAGGAGGAGGCGGUGAGGAGGGGCGGAAUUUCGAGAGGGCGUAACGUUAGGGGGCUUACCGGAGGAUGUGGGCGGGCUUGGGGCGGUUGGGAUCAUCGGGCCGGGGCAGCCGCGGCGGCGAGAUGGGCAGCGAGUGGUACCGGCUGGAGCGCGGCGGGCUCUAGGGCGCCAGGGGCCAGAGGGGGCUGCGCGGCCGCGGUAGCCUGCUGCACGACGACGCGCGGGGGCCGCGCGUCGAGGUGGAGCAGCUGGCGGCGGCGUCGGUGGGCGACCGGCGGCCGCUCGAGAGGGAGGUGGCGUAGGCGCGGCCGCUGUGGAGGGACCGGCGGUAGCGCCGCGAGCCGGGGCAGGUCACCGGCGAGCGGGCGCUGCAGCGGCGGCAGUUCGAGCUGGGCGCGGUGAUGAGGAAGAGGAAGCGGCAGGGGCGGAGGGGGCUGCUGGGCCGGGGGCUGGGCGAGGUGAUGCCGGAGUGCGAGAGGCAGGGGCUGGGCGCGGAGCUGCGGGACGAGCCGCGGAUGUGGUCCAAGAGGCGGGUGAGGCACCGGCCGUCGCUCCCCGAGCGGCCGCCCCAGGCGCCGCUCCAGCUCCGGCGGCGCAUGACCUGGCGGCAGCGCGGGUUGCAGCUCCUCAUGCCGUCGCGGCACCGGUCCCGGUAGCGCAGGCCGCGGCUCUUGCACCGGUUCCCCUAGGACACCACGCCCCACUACUGGCAGCUGGCCGAGGCCACCCCCGUCCUCCACGAGUCCUUCUCCUAGGUCGGGCCGCUAUGGCUCCGGCUCCAGUCGGGCCUCUACGAGGCCGCCUAGUUUUCCCGAUUCUUCCACUGUUUUUACAGUCUCUUUCAUCGUUGACCUUAUGACAGACCUCAACACUUCCAAUGAUCGAUACAAUGUUCGAGUAACCAAUUGAGUUUUCGACCGUUCUUCAAAAAGUCGGAUAACGGACCUCUCCAACAAGAACGAAGCGAACUACCUAAACCGUUCUAAAGACUGCGACAUCUUCACCGACCCUUCCUACACGAUAGUUGUAGCAGUUGCCACUGUUGGCCAGACCAUAGAGUGUUCAUGCCUCUCUUUCGACGACGCCGCUGGUUGCUUCCCGAGCUACGCCGUCCGGUACGGUAGCCUUGCCGCACCCGGCACAAGUUCGAGGCCGUUCGUAACUUGGGCUUCUCACAGAACUUUGGGUGCAGCGAGCGGUUCAGAUGGCAGUUCCGACCUCGGCGCCUUGAGGCCCGCUUCUCGUCGUCGUUCUCGUUCAUCCCAAGCUUCAGCUCGGCCAGCACAGUCCCUAGACUGGUAGUCUUCAAACGUAGAGGGCGGUCAGGGUCAACUACAUGGCAGAACAAACAUCUAUACACGUGACCUUUUCCUCUUGAUGGACGGACAGUACAGAAAGGGAGCCGACUACGCAAAGAGUCACCUCAUAGACAACGAACCAAAAGCAAUACACGAGACAGUCAGCUACUUUACCUCAACUCCUGUUCGUGUUGUUGCUCGAAUUUCGCAAACUCCCGACGCCACCCUACAGGUUCCUCAACACACGAUAUCAUUGCCUGAAACAGUCUGCCACGAGCUGCCGCAACCACUAGGUCGUACCGCUAGAAGUUCCCGUCGGGCUGGAUCGAUCCAGUGGUCUCUUCUCCCUCAGCCACGGUCGUACCGGUAGAAGUUGCCGUGGGGCUGGAUCGAUCCAGUGGUCUCUUCUCCCUCAGCCACGGUCGUACCGGUAGAAGUUGCCGUGGGGCUGGAUCGAUCCAGUGGUCUCUUCUCCCUCAGCCACGUACCAGGACUGCUGUAGCCUGAAUCUGGAUAACACAUCGCUGUACCCACAAAAAAUCCAAAGAAAAUCACUCAGAAGUAUCAAAACAAACCUUGGCGCUCCGCUGUGACAAGACCACAUCCUUAAUAGAAGAGGAGUGGAAAAGAGCAAGAAAACCACACGAAUAAUGGCCGCCUCCCGUACACCUCGGCACAAAGUUUGCCCAGAAGGUCCUAGACCAGCCGAAUCCAAAGACCUCCUAGGUAUACCUAAGCCGUUCGUAAACACCAGAAGCCUCAAAGAUUUCCGGAAAUAGCCACAAAGAAGAAACCCCCGCCGCUUAGCGAAGCGUUUAGGGCCUGCAGCCCGUAUAACAUCCUAUCUCUGUGGGGGUAGGUGCUCUACAACACGGUAGCGGGAUGGACUAGCAGGAGGAACCAAGAUGGUUAUUCCUAACGGUUGUAUAGACGUGGUUAUAAUUUUUCCUAUCCUCUGUUACCUAGAGAGACACCGUUAGGGAAAAUACAGAUCUUUAUUACUGGCUGUAGUAUUAAAUAGAACUGUGGUUGUGACAGAGGAACGUGCUUCCGGAGCUGAACGAAGGCGGUUACUCUGAGCUUCGGGAAGUACGCGUCUCGAACAACGUCUUGACUGGUGAAUUGAAAUAGCAUGUGGAAGAGUUUAGGUGUAACUUCUACUGAGGUGUGUUAAAGAAGCUUACCUAAAGCACAUUUUAAAGUACGUCUUGGUGUUGUGGGAGUUCGUACACCGCGGGUACGUACUUUCGUCAAACUCAGUCGAAUUGGUGUAAUACGCGUUAGACACAUGCUACUAAACACGGGUG